rnacentral:rRNA from 1 species
CAAGUCGAACGGCAGCACAGAGGAGCUUGCUCCUUGGGUGGCGAGUGGCGGACGGGUGAGGAAUACAUCGGAAUCUACUUUUUCGUGGGGGAUAACGUAGGGAAACUUACGCUAAUACCGCAUACGACCUCCGGGUGAAAGCAGGGGACCUUCGGGCCUUGCGCGAUUGAAUGAGCCGAUGUCGGAUUAGCUAGUUGGCGGGGUAAAGGCCCACCAAGGCGACGAUCCGUAGCUGGUCUGAGAGGAUGAUCAGCCACACUGGAACUGAGACACGGUCCAGACUCCUACGGGAGGCAGCAGUGGGGAAUAUUGGACAAUGGGCGCAAGCCUGAUCCAGCCAUACCGCGUGGGUGAAGAAGGCCUUCGGGUUGUAAAGCCCUUUUGUUGGGAAAGAAAAGCACUCGGUUAAUACCCAAGUGUUCUGACGGUACCCAAAGAAUAAGCACCGGCUAACUUCGUGCCAGCAGCCGCGGUAAUACGAAGGGUGCAAGCGUUACUCGGAAUUACUGGGCGUAAAGCGUGCGUAGGUGGUGAUUUAAGUCCGUUGUGAAAGCCCUGGGCUCAACCUGGGAAUUGCAGUGGAUACUGGGUCACUAGAAUGUGGUAGAGGGUAGCGGAAUUCCUGGUGUAGCAGUGAAAUGCGUAGAGAUCAGGAGGAACAUCCGUGGCGAAGGCGGCUACCUGGACCAACAUUGACACUGAGGCACGAAAGCGCGGGGAGCAAACAGGAUUAGAUACCCUGGUAGUCCACGCCCUAAACGAUGCGAACUGGAUGUUGGGUGCAAUUUGGCACGCAGUAUCGAAGCUAACGCGUUAAGUUCGCCGCCUGGGGA